rnacentral:ncRNA from 1 species
CUGAAUUUAAGCAUAUUAAUCAUCAUGGAAAAUAGACUAGCAAGGAUUCCCUCAGUAAUACAGAGUGGACAAGGAAGAGCCCAGCCUGACCGCGCCUGGUGGUGCUGACAUGCAAAUGCAGGUAAGAUGCACUCAGUAGCCCUCCUGCUGGGGACCCAACUCCUGAUGGAGGCCCUGCCCCUGACCAACUGGAGACCCAGAGGCCCCUGGCACACCAGCCCUGGACUUCCUGGACUCAUGUUGCUUAGGAAUGCACCCCAAAUUGGAUGGUAAAUUCCAUCUAGGGCUAAAUGCCAGCACAAGACCGAUAGUAGAUAUGGUACA